rnacentral:rRNA from 1 species
UAAGGAAUAUUGGUCAAUGGACGCAAGUCUGGACCAGCCAUGCCGCGUGAAGGAUUAAGGUCCUCUGGAUUGUAAACUUCUUUUAUCUGGGACGAAAAAAGGCGAUUCUUCGUCACUUGACGGUACCAGAUGAAUAAGCACCGGCUAACUCCGUGCCAGCAGCCGCGGUAAUACGGAGGGUGCAAGCGUUAUCCGGAUUCACUGGGUUUAAAGGGUGCGUAGGCGGGCAGGUAAGUCAGUGGUGAAAUCCUGGAGCUUAACUCCAGAACUGCCAUUGAUACUAUCUGUCUUGAAUAUUGUGGAGGUAAGCGGAAUAUGUCAUGUAGCGGUGAAAUGCUUAGAUAUGACAUAGAACACCUAUUGCGAAGGCAGCUUACUACGCAUAUAUUGACGCUGAGGCACGAAAGCGUGGGGAUCAAACAGGAUUAGAUACCCUGGUAGUCCACGCCCUAAACGAUGGAUACUCGACAUACGCGAUACACUGUGUGUGUCUGAGCGAAAGCAUUAAGUACCCCACCUGGGGAAGUACGACCGCAAGGUUGAAACUUAAAGGAAUUGACGGGGUCAUAGCUGUUUCCUG